AGCGAACGCUGGCGGCAGGCCUAACACAUGCAAGUCGAGCGGAGAGAGGUAGCUUGCUACUGAUCUUAGCGGCGGACGGGUGAGUAAUGCUUAGGAAUCUGCCUAUUAGUGGGGGACAACAUUUCGAAAGGAAUGCUAAUACCGCAUACGUCCUACGGGAGAAAGCAGGGGAUCUUCGGACCUUGCGCUAAUAGAUGAGCCUAAGUCGGAUUAGCUAGUUGGUGGGGUAAAGGCCUACCAAGGCGACGAUCUGUAGCGGGUCUGAGAGGAUGAUCCGCCACACUGGGACUGAGACACGGCCCAGACUCCUACGGGAGGCAGCAGUGGGGAAUAUUGGACAAUGGGCGGAAGCCUGAUCCAGCCAUGCCGCGUGUGUGAAGAAGGCCUUAUGGUUGUAAAGCACUUUAAGCGAGGAGGAGGCUACUUUAGUUAAUACCUAGAGAUAGUGGACGUUACUCGCAGAAUAAGCACCGGCUAACUCUGUGCCAGCCGCCGCAGUAACAC
rnacentral:rRNA from 1 species